CACUCUGGACGUGUCGAGAUUUUGUGGUAGUGAGUUGAGGCGCGUGCGCGGCCGCCUCCCUCGCCACCGCCUCUCCUCCGCUCUGAGAGACGUCGAGCACAGCCAGUUGCCGGGGAGAGGCAGUCGGUACUUGACGUGAAGCAUUUACGUAACAGAGAGGAAAAAUAGUGAAGUGCAUAAUAUAACAUGGAUGCUACGAAAGGAAAAGUCUGGCAGUACUGCAGUGACUAAGUUUGUCUUUACGCAGGACAGACACACACAUCCACAUACAUAUAGUUAUUUUCUGCUCUGUUGUGGAGCGUUGCGCUAAACGCACCAGUAGCUCACACGAUACACCGCCUGUGGUGUGGUGACACUGGACUUUCCUUCCUACGCCCACGCCAACUAAGGUAUUCAUCACUGCACGUGCGUCAUUCAAAGUAUAAAGAAAACAAACAAACAAGAACGAUUACGUACAUUACUUCAGUGACCACGACACCAGAACAAAAAGAGGUAUGGUAAUAAUUUUUUUUUCUAUGUGCAUACAAAGUAUGCAGUGAUGAAUACCUGCGUGAGGAGGGAAAAAAAAAUCACAAUAAGGUUUGUAAAGUUUGCUUACCCGAAGGGUCUCCUGUUAGAGCUGAAAGAGAAAGCAAAAAGAAUAUUCGAAAAGAACAACAGAGAGAAAUACACACACACACACACACACACACACACACACACACACACACACACACACACACACACACACACACACACACACACACACACACACACACACACACACAUAUCUCCCCAGAACGAACCAGUUCCCCAUCUGGUGCUUUUAAUGGACCUAUUGUUUCCUUAUUCUUCGUCCUAUAUACAUGAUAAAAUCCCUUGGGGUCCGUCUUCGCCUGGCUGGCUACCUUUAAUUCAUAAUUGCUUUUAGCUUUUUUCGUUAACCUCCUGACUGUUCUAACUGAUUCAUUAUAUUGUGGCCUUAAAACCUCUUCCCCUGCCUUUAAUCUCUUAUAUUUACUUCUCUUCCACCCCAUAUAGUAUUUUAACCUAAAAGUCAUCCAUUUAGGGUAAUUUUUCUGUGAUAUUAUUGCUCUACACGGGAUGUUUGCUGUCCAGUAUGCAAUUUAUAUACGAAAUAUUUAUACAACUCAUCUAUAUUUACUUCAACUAAUCCUCUCAUCUCGUCUUCUUCCAUCCUCUCCACUCCCUCAUGUACUCGCCUUGACCUCACCUCUCCCAUUUCAGCGUGACCUGACCCUCCAACAUACACAUAAUCUCUCUCUCUCCCUCCUCCGACCCUUCUGGACACUUCUUCCCUCCUCUUGCCCUACACCCUCACACCUCCCUUCACCUCUCUCAUCCAGCCUUACCUCUCUCAACUCCUCCUUGGACCUGACCUCACCCUGCGUCCGUUGCCAGUCAGCUCCUUGGAGGAACCUUUUUAAUCCCUCAAAAUCUGCUCUCCUAAAGUCAGGUAUUUUACUAGUGUUUUUGCUUCUAAAAGUUUCUUCCCAUUUUAAUUUGUACCUAAUUUCCCAAUUAUCAGUGUUACCUAGCUGUCCUCCAACCACUACCUGCGUGACUGCUUCCUCCCUGUUAGUUAAAUCUAGAAUACUGUUUCCCCUUGUGGGUUCUAUGAUUACCUAUUUUAAGAAUUAUCCUGAAUUAUCUUAAGAAAAUACUCUGCUUCCCUGUUACCUAUUAUCAA